AGAGUUUGAUCCUGGCUCAGGACGAACGCUGGCGGUGUGCUUCACACAUGCAAGUCGAACGGAGUAGCAAUACUCAGUGGCGGACGGGUGAGUAACACGUGGGAAUCUACCAUUAGGUGGGGAAUAACAGGCCGAAAGGACUGCUAAUGCCGCAUAUGUAGGCAUCUCGACAGAGAUGUUUAUGAAAGGAGUAAUCCGCCUUUUGAUGAGCCCGCGUCCGAUUAGCUAGUUGGUAGGGUAAAAGCCUACCAAGGCGACGAUCGGUAGGUGGUCUGAGAGGAUGAUCACCCACAAUGGGACUGAGACACGGCCCAUACUCCUACGGGAGGCAGCAGUGGGGAAUUUUACGCAAUGGGGGAAACCCUGACGUAGCGACACCGCGUGAGCGAAGAAGCCCUUUGGGGUGCAAAGCUCUGUCAACAGGAACGAAACAAAUGACGGUACCUGUGGAGGAAGCAUCGGCUAACUACGUGCCAGCAGCCGCGGUAAGACGUAGGAUGCAAGCGUUGUCCGGAUUUAUUGGGCGUAAAGAGUUCGUAGGCGGUUUGUUAAGUCUGAUGUUAAAGACCGGGGCUCAACCUCGGAAAUGCAUUGGAUACUGGCAGACUGGAGUGCAGUAGAGGCUAGUGGAAUUCCCAGUGUAGCGGUGAAAUGCGUAGA
rnacentral:rRNA from 1 species